ensembl:lncRNA
GAAAGAAAGCAGGCAUCGAGCCUCAUGGAAGGUGGGGUCCAGCCCGGCUGAACGUCCUAAAUGAAGAAAGUUCUCUCGGCCGUUUAAAAAUAGAUAAGCAAAAAAGGAGGAGAAGGAGAAAAGGAGAGAAGGAAGAGGAGAAGGAGAAAAAGAGAGAAAAGGGCACAAGGCAUAUGGGAUCUUAACUGCCCAGCCAGGGACUGAACCCUCAUCUCUUGCUCUGGAAGACAAAGUCCUAAUCACUGUUCCGCCAGGGAAGUCCCUACUACUUCGUUUGCAUAAAAGCAGAAAUACUAUAGCUUCUUCUGGAAGCCAAGGAGGAGCCGGAAAAUUACCUCCAAUCACGAUUCGGAAGCACAACCUCAGGCCUGAAGGCCAGAUGCGGGAUCUCCAGAGGCCAGCGCUGACCCCAGGAUGGCAGGGAAGCUGGGUCCGGCUAAUGAUGAUGAAAGAUACGUGGAAAAGGCAAUCAGGCACGAAGCCAGGAUUUAGGUCGUCCAUUCGCGUCGAUCAGCCCUGUGCAGCGACUUCCUCACCUCUUAGAGGAGCCUCCCAGACUGGGCCUGGAAAUCAUCUCGUGAAGUGCAGCAUGUCACGUCACGGGAAUUGUGGACAGCUGCAAGAUGAACUGCAGCAGGACUGAGAUACUGCUGGAAUGCUCCUGUUCAUUUGCUGCAAUAAUUGUACAAAUGGAAAUAUUCGUACUUCAAUUUUUAUCCUGCCCACAUCAAAACAGCAACAAUGAACACAUUGAAGUUAACUGUCACCAUAUCAGCAUGGAAUCAUUUAUCAUGUUAACGAUUGCCUUGGUCAGUUCACCCUCAUGACUUCCCAAGACAGAAUUGAGCUGGAUGAAUAGCCCCCCAACAUCUGGCAGCCCUUGAUGCUCCAGUUUGGGGGAUCAAUUCACUCUAACUUGAUCAGCAUCGUGGCCAAUACGGCCCCACCCGGUGAGAGAUACUUCAGUACAUGAUACACUCCUUGUCAUAUUUUGCAAUGUGAGUUUACUGUUGAAAUACCCUUUCCAGAGUAUGAGGCAUUGAUUCUGACAUUAAAAAGACCCUGUGAGUUGUGUAAAACUGGCGCUAUUAUGAUUAUUGCUGGAGGUCAGAGAGACUAAAGGCACCUGAUCAGUGUCACAAAGCCAGUAAGUGGGAAAGCCACGAAUAUGGAUAUGAUGGUUUUUUCAUUCAAAAUGUCAUGGUUUGGGACUUAUUCUUUUCAACUACAU